rnacentral:lncRNA from 1 species
GUUUGUGCCGCGCGCCCGCCAGACCGCCCAGGAGGCGGCGGCUAUUGUUCCCCGCAGGGGCCCGGGGCGCCCUGAAACGGGGUCCACGUCAGCCCGCUCCCGAGCGUGUCCUCAGGUCUAAGGACGGGUGGGGCUUCCUUUGUGUGUUCUCUGGAAGGGGCUGGGAUGGCGUCGUUGCUGCCCCAAGGGGUAACCGAGGGGGAUUGAGGGAAGAUGGUACCAGCUCCCUAGAGCUCAGCUCACCAGACCUACUCUUCCGCUCGACCCUUGCAGAGGAGGUGGGGACGGAUAUGGUAUUUGUAGGGCAGCGCUGUGAACAAUGGAGCCAUCAAAAAGGCCUUCUCCCAGCCUCCUCACCAACCACGGACAUUCCUGGCCCAACAAGACCUCCUGGCCAGGUUUUGAGCCCUGCUUCCCAGUUUCUGAAAGAAGGACCAAAGUAAUGCCAAGAACUCCCAGAUGAAGAGGACCUUCCUUAGACCUAUAACAGAUUCACUACUUGACUUCAGAGGGAAGUUUCAGCUAAUUCUCAGGAAAAGGUCAAAACAGGCCUGUGACUGUCCCUUGAAUACUGAAGGUAUAAACAAGCUUCUGGCUCCUCCAGGUCAAGCAGAGGAACACUUUUAUUAGAAUGAAGGGUUACUUCUUUGUUAUUCAAACACACACCCACACACAUCCUCUGUAGUCUCCCUAAUGAAAAACCUCAACAGAUGGAGAGCCUGAGCUCCCAAGUCCGCAGGCUGAGAAGAUGCACUUCACUCAAGGGCCAGUGGGCUGGUACAGACUAGGGAAGAGAAAAGGGACAAAGGCUGCUAGUAUAGGUAAUCACUAUCUUUUAAUACUCCUAACACAUAGAAAUUCGAAAAAUCUUGUUCAGCAAUGUUAGCAGCCUGUGAGCCUCGGAAACUAAUUUGGCUGAUGUGUCUCUGAUAGGGAGCUUGGGGCUGCACCAAGGGGAAACAUUCUCCUCCUGUAUUCUCUCCUCUCUCUCGUUUGAAAGCCUGUACAAAGAAAUGGUACAAAUGGAUGGUUAACUUAAUGAUUCCAUCAGAGGCAGAUUUUUCUCUGUCAGGUCCCUGGAUAAGGUGGAGGUCUGAAAGCCAGGAGACAGAAUAUGUACUUAAUCGCCCUUUCUGACCUGCUUACCAGUGACCAGGACUACUCUCCAGGCCUUUCUUCUGCCACUUCCCCAUUCUUCCUGGCUAGUUCAGUUGGGUCUCAGCACUUCAACUCCUGGCUGGAUCCUGAGUUUUUCUUGGUUGCAGGGAAAGCUCUCACUGUCUGCAUCUCCUUCCCCACCCCCACCUCCCGUUUUGCAGCUGGCCAUUCUGGCUGCCUCACAGCUAUCCUGCCUUAAUUCAUAUUUGAUUGCCUGGACAGAACCACCUAGAAUGUCCAGACGACUGCCACCCCUCAGCCAUGGGCCUGAGAUCCUGCCCUGACCCCUUUCUUCAGACCCCAGGAGGACCCACAAUCUCCCUGAUCCCCACCUUCCCCAAAGUAGUCUCUAGGAAAAAAGCAGAGCUGGCUAAGGCCUGAGACAGAGCCAUUUCUUCCCCUUGGGCAAACGAGGUAGACCCUCCCAGAGACCAAUGCCGGAGAGGCCCGGAUCCGAGCUCCCUUUAUAUGGCCUCCCCCAUCACGGAUCCCGUGGGAAAACCUGACACACAAUGGCGCGGCUGCUCCGGGCACCCUCAACCCAGCGCCCUGCGGCAAGGCCUGGAGCAGCCUGGUGGUCUUGGUGCGCUCCCUUUGCCCUCCCCGCAACCCUCUGCGAGCACUCGUCCCAGGAGAGAGACCCUGGCUAGGGUGGAGGUUGCCUCCCGCAAAGGGCGCUGUUGCUGGGGCCUCCCCUCCCCCAUUCUCUUGUUUUUCUGCUUCUGAGACUCGGGAGGGAGGCGGCAGGCGCCUCCGCAGCCGAUAGAGCAGCUAUUGUGACCUUCCCUUGCAGAGCGGGAACCCAGCCGAGUGUGUACCGCCGGCGGUGGCGGGGGAGGAGGCGACUGUGUGUGCAAACCUCAGUCGGAGAGGGGGUGGCGCUGGGAAAUAAAGGUUUGCAACCUCAGGCAGUUGGGCCCUUCAGAGGGCGUUUGGUUGUGUUUAGACUCGGUUGCUUUCUAACACUAAUUGCAGGCUCAAAAGGAGCGGAAUUUAUUGCGAAGGCCAAGGCGGCUUGUUUAUAAUUUAUGAAGUUUUAAAUGGCUGUGCCGCGGGCCCCAACUUUCUCCUGGGCUGGCAGCCGCGCGGAAACGCGCCCUCCCCCGGCUCGCCGCCCACCCCCACCCACGCCCCUCAGAUGAGUCUCACGCCAAUGGCAGGAACAGAUCCGAGCUAUUAGAAGUCUCGGGAACCUCCAGAGAUGACAGAAGGUGGCAGAUUUGGUCCAAGCCCUCACCCCACUCGAGAGGAGGGCGUCGGGGAAAGCUGUGGCUGCCUGGAGAGGGAGCCCCUGAUCCCACACUUCCUUGGAGCCUGAGUGUGAGAGGAAGCUAAUGUCAGCCGGGCUAGACACCGUUUAAAGUCUAAUCCAUGAAACCCUAAGCCGCAAAUGACACUUGGGGCUUUGCAGACACCCGCAGACUCAGCAGAUACUCCUGCGGUAACACACUGUGCUGGAAAACGCCUGGAGCCAUGACACAUUACGUAUUUUUAUUAUUAUUUAUGGUAGGAAGAGGAGAUGAGGGAAAAUCGGGCUGAAUCUAAGCAGCCUGACAAUUCAGCUAGUUAAUAUUUAGCCAGUUAAGAAAGGUGGUUGUAAUCCCUGCAAGGCAGUGAGCUCUCCUUUGAUUUCUCUAAUAGCUUAAAAAAUAAUUUCUUACAAGACAAUUAGAAAUUCUGCCUAUGGAUGCAAAUUUCAUAGAAAACAAUGUUAAGCCUUGAAAGUGGGUAAAAUGUGCCUUCGAUUGAAGUCAUUUAUUCUGUUGAUACACUUCUACAACAUAUAUAUUUUAAACCUGCUCAGAUAAAGUGAAAUUUAGCAAAAGGAUAUCCCCUCCCACCCCCAAAUCUAACAUGCCAUUUUAAAAACAGCACAAAGGAACAAGGAAACUAAAUAUUAUUUUGAGCCAUCAUUACUUAGUGAAAUACAAACAUCCAAAUAGAAACGAUUGUUGUUCCACCAGAAGAUUAGAAGUUAAAUUAUUUCCACACAAUAGGAAUUUCACUUCGUGUCAUCGGGGAUGUAGUAGGAGUUGCAUUAUUUGUCAAACCAAAUAGAGAUGCGUGGGCUGACUUUGCUGAAAUACAAAAGAAUUGAACCUUAUCUGAAGGCGUUUUCUAAGUGGCCCCUCCCAUAGAAGCCGGGAAGUUGUCCACCCCUAGCAGAAGCCACAUUAAUAUUUACAAAAUGGUUAUAAAUCCUUGAAGACAUUUUUGCCCAUUUUGUAUAAGAAACAGGAGUAAACAAGGUGUUUAUACUUGUUAUGUUUCAUUAAUGAAAUAUUAUUACUUUACAUCUUGGGGAAUGUUUGUUUUCUUUAGAAAUGAACUAAUGAUCACUACAAAGGAAGAAUUCAUGACAGCAUUUCCUAGAGAAAAAGCUUAGGUACGCGUCUCCAAAUGAUGGUUUCUUUUUCUACACCUUAGCUUUUUCAUAGCUCAAUUCUUCUUACAACUUCUCUUGUGUUUUUUCUUUGAUUGUCAGUUUUCUUUCAAAGUUUAUUUUUUGUUACUUAAUGCAGAAAAGUGAGCUCUGGUCUCCCCAGUGUAAAAGUCGAUUGUGUCUAGAAAGAAGGCAGUAAAAACAGCAAAGCAGGCGCUGCUUUCAAAAAGCCCUGCCCAAAUCAUCCCGCCCAGAACCUUCUUAGGUUUGCAUCCUCAUUUCCCCCUCCCCUAAUUUCAAUAGCUGGAAAGUAAUCAAGUAUCCCGAGAACCAAUUUAUGCACUAGACUCCAAAUAAAUAAAAUAUUUUUUUCAAAGUGUCA